GGUACUCCGGGGAUAACAGGCUGAUGACGCCCAAGAGUCCAUAUCGACGGCGUUGUUUGGCACCUCGAUGUCGGCUCAUCGCAUCCUGGGGCUGGAGCAGGUCCCAAGGGUUUGGCUGUUCGCCAAUUAAAGCGGUACGUGAGCUGGGUUUAGAACGUCGUGAGACAGUUCGGUCCCUAUCUGCCGUGGGUGUAGGAAUAUUGCGAGGAUCUGUCCCUAGUACGAGAGGACCGGGAUGGACAGACCUCUGGUGGACCUGUUGUGGCGCCAGCCGCAUUGCAGGGUAGCUAUGUUUGGAACGGAUAACCGCUGAAGGCAUCUAAGCGGGAAACCAGCCUCAAAACCAGUAUUCCCUUGAGAGCCGUGGAAGACGACCACGUUGAUAGGCUGGGUGUGGACGUGCAGCAAUGCAUGAAGCUUACCAGUACUAAUUGCUCGAUUGGCUUGAUUGC
rnacentral:rRNA from 1 species